rnacentral:lncRNA from 1 species
UCUUCAUUAAAUCAGCCUUGAGAAUCCUAAUGAUCAGCAGCAGCAUUAGUGACGUCUUGGCACACAAAACAGCUUCUUUGGGUAGUGUAAAGUUCAGCCUUGAAGAGAGGAAAUGCCAAGCAUGUUGUUGGCCGAAUGGCUACUUGAAAAUACCAACCAGCAGCCCUUUGAUGUUCACGAAAAUAGCACUUUUAAUGCUUCAUGUAUUCUCUUUUCAG